UACGUAGGGUGCAAGCGUUAAUCGGAAUUACUGGGCGUAAAGCGUGCGCAGGCGGCUUUGCAAGCCGGAUGUGAAAUCCCCGGGCUUAACCUGGGAAUGGCAUUUGGGACUGCAAGGCUGGAGUGCGGCAGAGGAGACUGGAAUUCCUGGUGUAGCAGUGAAAUGCGUAGAUAUCAGGAGGAACACCGGUGGCGAAGGCGGGUCUCUGGGCAGUAACUGACGCUGAGGAGCGAAAGCGUGGGGAGCGAACAGG
rnacentral:rRNA from 1 species